UGGUGUCUAUGGAAAGCUCUCGAAGUGUAGAUGAGGUUUGGAACAAGACCGGUCCUAUUGGUGGCCGAAUCGGCCAGAAUCGGCGCUCUGCUUGUUGGAGCAUCUUCAGGCCCGUUUUCCCGGCGCCUCAUGCGACGGCCGGCGAGGGGGACAGGCUGGGGCGUUGAGCUGGGAAGGCGGUGGGGCGGCGAGAGGAGGAGAG
rnacentral:misc_RNA from 1 species